UUAGGAAAUGUAGACUCGCUAAUAUCGGGUCUAUUUGACAAAGGCUCCAAAGGAAGCCACGGCUAACUCUGUGCCAGCAGCCGCGGUAAUACAGAGGUGGCAAGCGUUGUUCGGUAUUAUUGGGCGUAAAGAGCACGUAGGUGGAUUUGUAAGUCAGACGUGAAAGCCUUCUGUUCAACGGAAGUAUUGCAUCUGAAACUACAAACCUUGAGUGUA
rnacentral:rRNA from 1 species